rnacentral:rRNA from 1 species
UACGUAGGGUGCAGGCGUUAAUCGGAAUUACUGGGCGUAAAGCGUGCGCAGGCGGUCUUUUUAAGUCAGAUGUGAAAUCCCCGGGCUUAACCUGGGAACUGCGUUUGAAACUGGAAGGCUUGAGUGUGGCAGAGGGGGGUGGAAUUCCACGUGUAGCAGUGAAAUGCGUAGAUAUGUGGAGGAACACCGAUGGCGAAGGCAGCCCCCUGGGCUAACACUGACGCUCAUGCACGAAAGCGUGGGGAGCAAACAGG